rnacentral:rRNA from 1 species
AUUGAACGCUGGCGGCAGGCCUAACACAUGCAAGUCGAACGGUAACAGGAAGAAGCUUGCUUCUUUGCUGACGCGUGGCGGGGGUGUGUGUCAUGUCUGUGAAACUGCCUGAUGGAGGGGGUUAACUACUGGAAACGGUACCUAAAACCGCAUAACGUCUCAAGACCAAAGAGGGGGACCUUCGGGCCUUUUGCCAGCGGCUUUGCCCAGAUGGGGUUAGCUAGUAGGUGGGGUAAAGGCUCACCCAGGCGACAGUCCCUAGCUGGUCUCAGAGGAGGACCAGCCAAACUGGGACUGGGACACGGUCCAAACUCCUACGGGAGGCAGCAGUGGGGAAUAUUGCACAAUGGGCGGAAGCCUGAUGCAGCCAUGCCGCGUGUAUGAAGAAGGCCUUCGGGUUGUAAAGUACUUUUAGCGGGGAGGAAGGAAGUAAAGUUAAUACCUUGGCUCAUUGACGUUACCCGAAGAAGAAGGACCGGCUAACUCCGUG